UACGGAGGGAGCUAGCGUUGUUCGGAAUUACUGGGCGUAAAGCGCACGCAGGCGGCUGCGCGCGUGGGGUGUGAAAUCUGGCCGCUUAACGGCCAGGCGCCAUCCCAUACGGCGCGUCUGGAGUGAUGCAGAGGUCGGUGGAAUUGCCGGUGUAGUGGUGAAAUGCGUAGAGAUCGGCAGGAACACCCAGGGGGAAACCAGCCGACUGGGCAUCUACUGACGCUGAGGUGCGAGAGCGUGGGGAGCGAACAGG
rnacentral:rRNA from 1 species